rnacentral:rRNA from 1 species
UACGGGGGGGGCAAGCGUUGUUCGGAAUUACUGGGCGUAAAGGGUUCGUAGGUGGCCAACUAAGUCAGACGUGAAAUCCCUCAGCUUAACUGGGGAACUGCGUCUGAGACUGGAUGGCUUGAGUGCAGGAGAGGAACGCGGAAUUCCAGGUGUAGCGGUGAAAUGCGUAGAUAUCUGGAGGAACACCGGUGGCGAAGGCGGCUCUCUGGAACGCAACUGACGCUGAGACGCGAAAGCGUGGGGAGCAAACAGG